ACGGUUACCUUGUUACGACUUAGCCCCAGUCACCGGUCUUGCCUUAGGGCGCUCCUUGCGGUCACGCACUUCAGGCACUCCCGGCUUCCAUGGCUUGACGGGCGGUGUGUACAAGGCCCGGGAACGUAUUCACCGCGCCGUGGCUGAUGCGCGAUUACUAGCGAAUCCAGCUUCAUGGAGUCGGGUUGCAGACUCCAAUCCGAACUGAGACAGGUUUUCGGGUUCUGCGCCGGGUCACCCCGUGGCUUCCCGCUGUACCUGCCAUUGUAACACGUGUGUCGCCCCGGACGUAAGGGCCGUGCUGAUUUGACGUCAUCCCCGCCUUCCUCACAGCUUGCGCCGGCAGUCCCGACAGAGUCCUCAACGCUACUUGUUAGCAACUGUCGGUAGGGGUUGCGCUCGUUAUGGCACUUAAGCCGACACCUCACGGCACGAGCUGACGACAACCAUGCAGCACCUCGUCAGUUGCCCCGAAAGGAAUAUCCGUUU
rnacentral:rRNA from 1 species